rnacentral:tRNA from 1 species
AAGAAGUAUAGCAUCUCCCUUACACCGAGAAGUCAUCCGUGCAAAUCGAAUAACUC